UGGGGAAUUUUGGACAAUGGGCGAAAGCCUGAUCCAGCAAUGCCGCGUGUGUGAAGAAGGCCUUCGGGUUGUAAAGCACUUUUGUCCGGAAAGAAAUCCUUGGCUCUAAUACAGUCGGGGGAUGACGGUACCGGAAGAAUAAGCACCGGCUAACUACGUGCCAGCAGCCGCGGUAAUACGUAGGGUGCAAGCGUUAAUCGGAAUUACUGGGCGUAAAGCGUGCGCAGGCGGUUUGCUAAGACCGAUGUGAAAUCCCCGGGCUCAACCUGGGAACUGCAUUGGUGACUGGCAGGCUAGAGUAUGGCGGAGGGGGGUAGAAUUCCACGUGUAGCAGUGAAAUGCGUAGAGAUGUGGAGGAAUACCGAUGGCGAAGGCAGCCCCCUGGGCCAAUACUGACGCUCAUGCACGAAAGCGUGGGGAGCAAACAGGAUUAGAUACCCUGGUAGUCCACGCCCUAAACGAUGUCAACUAGUUGUUGGGGGAUUCAUUUCCUUAGUAACGUAGCUAACGCGUGAAGUUGACCGCCUGGGGAGUACGGUCGCAAGAUUAAAACUCAAAUGAAUUGACGGGGUCAU
rnacentral:rRNA from 1 species